rnacentral:misc_RNA from 1 species
AUGAUUUCCUUUAUUUACGACGUAUUUGUAAAUUACAUUGUUAUGAUGACAAUAACAAGCUUGGAAGCAAUAAUUGGACAUUUUACGGUGUGCGAAAAGUUGAAGAUUUUCGUUAUCAGCAGUUAGGUGUAUAGCGCCAGCUAUAUGUACCGAACGGUUUUCCACAGGGUCCUAUGCAUACUCCACCGCAAGGACCGCAGAAUGGUGCAGGAUAGGCAACGCCAGCAACUUGCCCAAAGCACGGAACACCACAACAAGGAAAGCAAGGCAUUGUAAAUUAAAAUAAUUAAUUCUCCAAGUAUGCCUGUCAGAAAUUGUUGUCUAGGAUGCCAAGGGCCGAUGCCAAGACUCUGCGGACCACAACCAUCACGCAUAGAUGGCUGCAUGGGUCCCUGGUGCGCACACGCUAUUGGCGCUAAUUGUAACAGUCCAUGUGGAGAAAUUGGAUGCAUACACGGAGCUCGUGGUGGAGUUGCAGGCUCAUACUACAGCUGUAGACACGGUUGUAUCGGUGGCUGCAUCAGUGGACUAUGCCGUUCCUGCUGUGGUCCAGCUUGCUAAAUACUUAGAUGAUCCAUUAGCUACUGGCUGUAGAGUUUUAACAAUGUUUAUAAAAAUACAACCAAAUAAAUAAAAACAAAUCAAAA